rnacentral:misc_RNA from 1 species
UUUAGGGAGACCUUCUGCAUUCCCACUGAAACCCAAAAAUUAAUCGGGGGACUCAGAUAUCCUAAGGUCGUUACGAGACUAGACAAUUUCUGGCUUUCAAACUCUUUGUUCGGUUCAGCAUCAUGUUUGAUGAACAUGAUGCUACACAUGAAUAAGCCGGAACGAAAACACAGCAACUUAUCUAAAGUCAUCUAUCAAAUAUAGAGACCAGAAAGACUGCUGGAUUUUAACCAGCUUUUGAACCUUGAAAACUGCAUAAAGAAAAGAAUCAAAGGGAAAACCUUUUAAAUCCGAAGGGAUUUAGAAGGCAUCCAAAAAAGAAG